rnacentral:rRNA from 1 species
AUUGAACGCUGGCGGCAGGCCUAACACAUGCAAGUCGAGCGGAUGAAGGGAGCUCGCUCCUCGAUUCAGCUGCGGACGGGUGAGUAAUUCCUAGGAAUCUGCCUGGUCUUGGGGGAUAACGUCCGGAAACGGGCCCUAAUCCCGCAUCCGACCUUAGUGUGAAAGUGGUGGUUCUUCGGUCCUCACCCUACCUGCUGAGCCUAGGUCGGAUUAGCUAGUUGGUGGGGUAAAGGCCUACCAAGGCGACGAUCCGUAACUGAUCUGAGAGGAUGAUCAGUCACACUGGAACUGAGACACGGUCCAGACUCCUACGGGAGGCAGCAGUGGGGAAUAUUGGACAAUGGGCGAAAGCCUGAUCCAGCCAUGCCGCGUGUGUGAAGAAGGUCUUCGGAUUGUAAAGCACUUUAAGUUGGGAGGAAGGGCAGUAAGUUAAUACCUGGCUGUUUUGACGGUACCAACAGAGUAAGCACCGGCUAACUUCGUG